AAGAUGUUCAGAACGAGGUUGUCGCUGGCCUUCCGGGGCAUGUGCACACCUCUUCUCAUCCCCCACUUCACACCUGUGCACCUUCGGUAGUUCUGUUGAAGAUAGAAGAGCCGCAAGGCUUCUCUGCCGGAUCGGUCCUACGUUUUCACACACUCUAUAAAGUUCAGAAUGUAUACCGCGUCUAACGCACAUAAUA
rnacentral:misc_RNA from 1 species